AGGCAUCGAGUCUAUGGGGCGUCAGUAAUGAUGCUUCCGCAGAGUACACUUGCCGAAGCCUCAGUGGCCCGAAAGGGUUGCGCCCGCGACUGUAAACAAGAGAGGCGCAUUAAACGCUAGUCCCCUCGCCGGGGGGCGACACUAUCAAAUUGCGGGGAACUCCUGCCAGGCCUUCGCUACCGCGGCUCGCCGAAAGGUCGAGUGCAGCACCGGGUUAACGACCCCGGGGAUGGUAAGAACGCGAAGGAUAGGGAUGAUCCGCAGCCAAGCGCUAAGUCCUCGGAUACGCGUGCAGUUCACAGGCCAAAUGGUAGUGGGCACCUCGGUGCUUAAGAUAUGGUCGAGUCCCAAUCGAGAGGUUGGGUACAAAGUACUCUGUAACAGAACCGUUCCGUAGGUGAACCUGCGGAAGGAUCAUUAUCGAAUAGCGCUCUCGGGCGUUCAUUCUCCCGGCUGUGCGCCCUUCGCGGGGCUUGCACGCCGGGGAUUCCACACACCUGUGCACGUUUCGUUCGGUGGCUCGUCCGCCGUCCGCCUCCACACAUCUACGUCUGUCUUGAAUGUCUUUANACUAUAAACGAUACAACUUUCAGCAACGGAUCUCUUGGCUCUCGCAUCGAUGAAGAACGCAGCGAAAUGCGAUAAGUAAUGUGAAUUGCAGAAUUCAGUGAAUCAUCGAAUCUUUGAACGCACCUUGCGCCCCGUGGUAUUCCGCGGGGCAUGCCUGUUUGAGUGUCACUUGAAACCUCGCCCUCUGUGAUGUCAAAGUCGCUCUGGGUGGACUUGGACCGUNCCGUCGUCGGCUCGUCCUGAAAUGCAUUAGCCUGGUCGUCGGACCGAAGGGCCGCGGUGUGAUAAUUCCAUCUGCGCCGAUAAGUGCCCCCGGUGUAAUUCGACUCU
rnacentral:rRNA from 1 species